rnacentral:rRNA from 1 species
UACGUAGGGGUGCAAGCGUUGUCCGGAAUUAUUGGGCGUAAAGAGCUCGUAGGCGGUCUGUCGCGUCGAAUGUGAAAAACCCGGGGGCUCAACCCCCGGGCCUGCAGUCGAUACGGGGCAGACUAGAGUGUGGUAGGGGGAGACUGGAAUUCCUGGUGUAGCGGUGAAAUGCGCAGAUAUCAGGAGGAACACCGGUGGCGAAGGCGGAUCUCUGGGCCAUUACUGACGCUGAGGAGCGAAAGCGUGGGGAGCGAACAGG